rnacentral:rRNA from 1 species
AAGAACGAGUGUGAGAGUGGAAAGUUCACACUGUGACGGUAUCUUACCAGAAAGGGACGGCUAACUACGUGCCAGCAGCCGCGGUAAUACGUAGGUCCCGAGCGUUGUCCGGAUUUAUUGGGCGUAAAGCGAGCGCAGGCGGUUAGAUAAGUCUGAAGUUAAAGGCUGUGGCUUAACCAUAGUACGCUUUGGAAACUGUUUAACUUGAGUGCAAGAGGGGAGAGUGGAAUUCCAUGUGUAGCGGUGAAAUGCGUAGAUAUAUGGAGGAACACCGGUGGCGAAAGCGGCUCUCUGGCUUGUAACUGACGCUGAGGCUCGAAAGCGUGGGGAGCAAACAGGAUUAAAUACCCUGGUAGUCCACGCCGUAAACGAUGAGUGCUAGGUGUUAGACCCUUUCCGGGGUUUAGUGCCGCAGCUAACGCAUUAAGCACUCCGCCUGGGGAGUAC